rnacentral:rRNA from 1 species
GUGGGGAAUAUUGCACAAUGGGGGAAACCCUGAUGCAGCGACGCCGCGUGAGCGAGGAAGUAUUUCGGUAUGUAAAGCUCUAUCAGCAGGGAAGAAAAUGACGGUACCUGACUAAGAAGCCCCGGCUAACUACGUGCCAGCAGCCGCGGUAAUACGUAGGGGGCAAGCGUUAUCCGGAUUUACUGGGUGUAAAGGGAGCGCAGGCGGUCCUGCAAGUCUGGUGUGAAAGCCCGGGGCUCAACCCCGGGACUGCAUUGGAAACUGUGGGACUUGAGUGUCGGAGGGGCAAGUGGAAUUCCUAGUGUAGCGGUGAAAUGCGUAGAUAUUAGGAGGAACACCAGUGGCGAAGGCGGCUUGCUGGACGACAACUGACGCUGAGGCUCGAAAGCGUGGGGAGCAAACAGG